ACCCGCUGAACUUAAGCAUAUCAAUAAGCGGAGGAAAAGAAACCAACAGGGAUUGCCCCAGUAACGGCGAGUGAAGCGGCAAUAGCUCAAAUUUGAAAUCUGGCCCUUUCAGGGUCCGAGUUGUAAUUUGCAGAGGGCGCUUUGGUGUCGGCAGCAGCCUAAGUUCCUUGGAACAGGUCAUCAUAGAGGGUGAGAAUCCCGUAUGUGGCUGCUUGUCUUCACCGUGUAAAGCCCCUUCGAUGAGUCGAGUUGUUUGGGAAUGCAGCUCUAAAUGGGAGGUAAAUUUCUUCUAAAGCUAAAUAUUGGCCAGAGACCGAUAGCGCACAAGUAGAGUGAUCGAAAGAUGAAAAGCACUUUGGAAAGAGAGUCAAAAAGCACGUGAAAUUGUUGAAAGGGAAGCGCUUGCAGCCAGACGUGCCCGUAGUUGCUCAUCUGGGGUUCUCCCCAGUGCACUCUUCUAUGGGCAGGCCAGCAUCAGUUCGGGCGGUUGGAGAAAGACCUGUGUCAUGUAGCUCUCUUCGGGGAGUGUUAUAGGGCAGGUGGAAUGCAACCAGCCUGAACUGAGGUCCGCGCAUCUGCUAGGAUGCUGGCGUAAUGGCUGUAAGCGGCCCGUCUUGAAACACGG
rnacentral:rRNA from 1 species